GCCUUCUAGUCAUGAUCUUCAAAGGAGGAGGAAUUUUCGUCCAAGGCCUUCCAGGUUUUGCUUAAUGAAUGCCAAUAGAGAUGGGUUUGCAGUUUCUUGAUCUUAAUUAGAUUCAAGAAUUUUGGGGUGUUUUUUUGUCCCCUUUUAUUCUUGAAUAUUGGAAUAACAGUAUGUAGAUACGAGGGAUAUGUAGAUAUAAAGAUUAUUUGGUUAUUGCAUAAGAGGAAAGAAAUUAAAUUAAAGAUUAGGAAUAUGGUAUUGUAAUUGGUGGUCUCAAAUGUCAAUUGCCAGUUUUAGAUUAUUGAUUUGAGACCCAAAAGGCUAUGAAUACAGUCAAGAAAUAGAGAUUGAUGAAUCUAUUGUUCAUUUGCAGUUUCUGCUUUAUUUGGGUGUUCAAGAUCCAACAAAGAAAGGUGAUGAAAUUAUUAAAAAAAAAACAUUCAUGUAACAUUUGGGUGCUUUGUAUGUCUAUGGUCAGAUACACGUUUUUCUUGAUAUGUAAUAAUAUUUUAUUAUACAAUGUUGAGCAUUUGGUGGCUGAGAUGGGUUUUUUUUCAGAACUUUAUUAGGCUAGCUUCUGAUAAUGUUGUAAUUAAUUUAGUUUUAACAAGAUCCAAUGUCAAGAACAUUUUUAACUUGGUC
rnacentral:misc_RNA from 1 species